rnacentral:rRNA from 1 species
CCUACGGGAGGCAGCAGUCCGGAAUCUUGCGCAAUGGGGGCAACCCUGACGCAGCCACGCCGUGUGAGGGAUGAAGGCCUUCGGGUCGUAAACCUCUGUCAGGAGGGAAGAGAUGGUUUUCGGCUAAUAUCCGGAAGCCUUGACGGUACCUCCAGAGGAAGCAUCGGCUAACUACGUGCCAGCAGCCGCGGUGAGACGUAGGAUGCUAGCGUUGUUCGGAAUUAUUGGGCGUAAAGGGCGUGUAGGCGGUCUGUUAAGUUCCGGGUAAAAUCCCUCGGCUCAACCGAGGAACGCCGCGGAAAACUGGCGGACUUGAGUCCGGGAGAGGAAGGUGAAAUUCCCAGUGGAGCGGUGAAAUGCGUAGAGAUUGGGAGGAACACCGGUAGCGAAGGCGGCCUUCUGGACCGAGACUGACGCUGAAACGCGAAAGUGUGGG